UACAGAGGGUGCGAGCGUUGUCCGGAAUCACUGGGCGUAAAGGGCGCGUAGGCGGCCUGAUAAGUAGGGGGUGAAAUCUUGCGGCUCAACCGCAAGGCUGCCUUCUAAACUGUCAGGCUGGAGUACGGUAGAGGCAGAUGGAAUUCCCGGUGUAGCGGUGGAAUGCGUAGAGAUCGGGAAGAACACCAGUGGCGAAGGCGGUCUGCUGGGCCGUUGCUGACGCUGAGGCGCGACAGCGUGGGGAGCAAACAGG
rnacentral:rRNA from 1 species